rnacentral:rRNA from 1 species
AGUGGCGGACGGGUGAGUAACACGUGAGUAACCUGCCUUUCAGAGGGGAAUAAUGUUUGGAAACGGACACUAAUACCGCAUAAUAUAUUUUAAUCGCAUGAUUGAAGUAUCAAAGGAGCAAUCCGCUGAAAGAUGGACUCGCGUCUGAUUAGCCAGUUGGCGGGUAACGGCCACCAAAGCGACGAUCAGUAGCCGGACUGAGAGGUUGAACGGCCACAUUGGGACUGAGACACGGCCCAGACUCCUACGGGAGGCAGCAGUGGGGGAUAUUGCACAAUGGGCGCAAGCCUGAUGCAGCAAACCGCCGCGUGCAGGAAGACGGUCUUCGGAUUGUAAACUGUUGUCCUCUGUGACGAUAAUGACGGUAGCAGAGGAGGAAGCCACGGCUAACUACGUGCCAGCAGCAGC